GAUGAACGCUGGCGGCGUGCCUAAUACAUGCAAGUCGAGCGAACAGACGAGGAGCUUGCUCCUCUGACAUUAGCGGCGGACGGGUGAGUAACACGUGGAUAACCUACCUAUAAGACUGGGAUAACUUCGGGAAACCGGAGCUAAUACCGGAUAAUAUAUUGAACCGCAUGGUUCAAUAGUGAAAGACGGUUUUGCUGUCACUUAUAGAUGGAUCCGCGCCGCAUUAGCUAGUUGGUAAGGUAACGGCUUACCAAGGCAACGAUGCGUAGCCGACCUGAGAGGGUGAUCGGCCACACUGGAACUGAGACACGGUCCAGACUCCUACGGGAGGCAGCAGUAGGGAAUCUUCCGCAAUGGGCGAAAGCUUGACGGAGCAACGCCGCGUGAGUGAUGAAGGUCUUCGGAUCGUAAAACUCUGUUAUUAGGGAAGAACAAAUGUGUAAGUAACUAUGCACGUCUUGACGGUACCUAAUCAGAAAGCCGCGGCUAACUACGUG
rnacentral:rRNA from 1 species